CUGCUGAGUGUGGUGGGAGGGGCCAGCCACAGGGAAGCAAAGCCCUGCUUCUUUCAGACGGCAUCUCAGUGUGCACACAGGCUGCCUUGAAGUCUCCCGUGAAGGCCCCGCCCCCCGGCCUCUCCGGACUUGUAGCGGGGGGGCUGACAAGUAACGGUACCCCUGGCAACGGAGAGCCGGCGCGCGCAGGCCAAUCAGAGAGGACGCAGCGGUGAACGUCAUCACGCCCGCUGCGUCCAACCGGAAGUGUUGUGGGACACGGCUCCUGGCCCCAGAAGGAUGCCGGCAAUGGAGGGGAGGCAGUCUUAUUCACACACCCUUUAAAAGCGACGGCAACUGGCUGAUGAUGAUGAUGGCAUCAGUGGGCAUCAUCGCACCUGGCUCAGACACCAGAAGCGGGACAUGUUGUGAUGGUGGUCAGUAUAAGUAUCCACAGCCACCUUGAGACAGAGUCACCUGUAGCUGCAACCUAGGGAGGGCACAGCCGCAGCAGCAGAGGGAGAGAGGAGAUGCCGACUGUCCCCACAGAAGCCAGGAAGAGGGCCUGCUGAAGCCAGUAAGAUGGAGCCAGGCUCUGGAAUGCUGUGGUACCCUCAGAAAACCAACUGAACCAUCUUUAAACUAUCAUAUUCAUAUAACGUAAGACCAUUCCACAUUUAUACUCAUAUCUCCAGUCUUGCCACCCUUCUACCUUCCUUCUUGUUGCACGGAGUUCUUCACUUUUUACAUAAAAAAAAAAAAAAUAUGCAGUAUAUGUCUAAGGUUAUGUAACACAAGCAAGAGAAACACUGUUAUGCAUUGACAGCUAUUCCAGGUCAUUAAUUCUGUGUUACCCAUAACAAAACUUAUUCAGUCUCAGCCUGCAGAAGAUCUGGAAUUCCCAUUUGCCUGCUUUAAACGUAGAUUUCCUAACAUGCACAGGCUUUGAAUGGUAAAUCAUUUAAAGAGUUGACAUGGUAAGUUCAGAUAGUGACAAAUGUGCAAGGAUGAAUCUCUGCAUAAAUGAGCUCUGACAUUCUAACAGCACCAAAGAGAAUUUGUUGGCUACAGUUUAAUAUGAAUCUGAAUGUUAUAACUUCUAUUAUAUUGUGUCUGAAAAGUACUUUGCACAAGGUUUGCCCUUGGAAAAAUGUCAAUGAAUAAAAUAAA